CGUAAUGAGGAGCAUGCCGCAGCGGUCAUACGUAGGGCGCAGGCGUUUGCCGGAAGUAUUGGGCUGAAAGAGCGCGUAGGCGGCGUGGCACGUCGAUUGUGAAAGCCCGAGGCUUAACCGCGGGUCUGCAGUCGAUACGGGCUAGCUAGAGUGUGGUAGGGGAGGUCGGAAUUCCUGGUGUAGCGGUGAAAUGCGCAGAUAUCAGGAGGAACACCGGUGGCGAAGGCGGAUCUCUGGGCCAUUACUGACGCUGAGGAGCGAAAGCGUGGGGAGCGAACAGGAUUAGAUACCCUUGUAGUC
rnacentral:rRNA from 1 species